rnacentral:rRNA from 1 species
GACGAACGCUGGCGGCGUGCUUAACACAUGCAAGUCGAACGAUGAGCCCGGAGCUUUCCCUGGGGGAUUAUUGGCGAACGGGUGAGUAACACGUGAGGAACCUGCCCUUGACUCUGGGAUAAGCGUUGGAAACGACGUCUAAUACCGGAUAGGACCUUUGAUCGCAUGAUCUGGGGUGGAAAGUGUUUUCGGUCUGGGAUGGACUGGCGGCCUAUCAGCUUGUUGGUGAGGUAAUGGCGCGCCAAGGAUUCGACGGGUAGCCGGCCUGAGAGGGUGACCGGCCACACUGGGAAUGAGACACGGCGCAGACUCCUACGGGAGGCAGGAGUGGGGAAUAUUGCACAAUGGGCGAAAGCGUGAUGCAGCAACGCCGCGUGCGGGAUGACGGCCUUCGGGUUGUAAACCGCUUUUAGUAGGGAAGAAGGGCUUCGGCUUGACGGUACCUGCAGAAAAAGGACCGGCUAACUACGUG